AACGAACGCUGGCGGCAUGCCUAACACAUGCAAGUCGAACGAGACCUUCGGGUCUAGUGGCGCACGGGUGCGUAACGCGUGGGAACCUGCCCUUAGGUUCGGAAUAACUCCCCGAAAGGGGUGCUAAUACCGGAUAAUGUCUUCGGACCAAAGAUUUAUCGCCUUUGGAUGGGCCCGCGUUGGAUUAGCUAGUUGGUAGGGUAAAAGCCUACCAAGGCGACGAUCCAUAGCUGGUCUGAGAGGAUGAUCAGCCACACUGGGACUGAGACACGGCCCAGACUCCUACGGGAGGCAGCAGUGGGGAAUAUUGGACAAUGGGCGAAAGCCUGAUCCAGCAAUGCCGCGUGAGUGAUGAAGGCCUUAGGGUUGUAGCUCUUUUACCCGGGAUGAUAAUGACAGUACCGGGAGAAUAAGCGCCGGCUAACUCCGUG
rnacentral:rRNA from 1 species